AUAUCAAUAAGCGGAGGAAAAGAAACCAACAGGGAUUGCCUCAGUAACGGCGAGUGAAGCGGCAACAGCUCAAAUUUGAAAUCUGGAGCCUUCGGCUUCCGAGUUGUAAUUUGAAGAGGAUGCUUCGGUUGCGGCCCCGGCCCAAGUUCCUUGGAACAGGACGUCAUGGAGGGUGAGAAUCCCGUGCCUGGCUGGCGGCUUGCUUCUAUGUGAAGCUCCUUCGAAGAGUCGAGUUGUUUGGGAAUGCAGCUCAAAAUGGGUGGUAAAUUUCAUCUAAAGCUAAAUAUUGGCGGGAGACCGAUAGCGCACAAGUAGAGUGAUCGAAAGAUGAAAAGCACUUUGAAAAGAGAGUUAAACAGUACGUGAAAUUGUUGAAAGGGAAGCGCUUGCAAUCAGACUCGCCUGCGGUUGAUCAACGUUCCUUCUGGUUCGUGCACUCUGCCGCCGGCGGGCCAGCAUCAGCCGGGGCGGUGGGACAAAGACGGUGGGAAUGUGGCUCCCCUCGGGGAGUGUUAUAGCCCGCCGCGCAAUGCCACCAGCGCCGGCUGAGGUCCGCGGUUCGCCUAGGAUGCUGGCUUAAUGGUUGUAAGCGA
rnacentral:rRNA from 1 species